UACGUAGGGGGCAAGCGUUGUCCGGAUUUAUUGGGCGUAAAGAGCGUGUAGGCGGCCUGACAGGUCUGCUGUGAAAACUCGAGGCUCAACCUCGAGAUGUCGGCGGAAACCGUCUGGCUAGAGUCCGGAAGAGGAGAGUGGAAUUCCUGGUGUAGCGGUGAAAUGCGCAGAUAUCAGGAGGAGCACCCAUGGCGAAGGCAGCAAACUGGGCAUUAUCUGACGCUGAGGCGCGAAAGCGUGGGUAGCAAACAGG
rnacentral:rRNA from 1 species